rnacentral:tRNA from 1 species
GGAGGAUAUAGCUCAGUGGUAGAGUGUGUGCUUAGCAUGCACGAGGUCCUGGGUUCAAUCCCCAGUACCUCCA